GAGGCAAGGUAGAAUAGAAAAAGGGAGGAGGGGACCUCGUUUCCAUCUCUCACCACAGGAAAUGUGUGAGUGGUUUAAAUGCAAGUCUGGUUUUGCAGGAUACUUCUGAGUAACUGGUGAGGAACAUUCAGCAGCAUGGCCAGCCGAGUGGAGCAUCCUGCUGCAGGCUACAAGAAGAUCUUUGAGACGGUGGAGGAGCUGAACGAACCUAUUCCUGCCGAGAUCAAGGGUGUCAUACCGUCAUGGCUGGGCGGCAGUCUUCUCCGGAUGGGUCCAGGUCUUUUUGAGGUGGGAGAUGAGCCUUUCCACCAUCUGUUUGAUGGACAGGCUAUGAUUCACAAGUUUGACCUGAAGGACGGUCAGGUGACCUACUACAGGAAGUUUAUCAAGACAGAUGCGUAUGUUCGUGCCAUGACAGAGAACAGAAUAGUCAUCACUGAGUUUGGCACAGCAGCCUACCCAGACCCCUGCAAAAACAUCUUCUCCAGAUUCUUCACUUAUUUCAGAGGCAUUGAGGUGACUGAUAACUGCAUGGUGAACAUCUAUCCAGUCGGUGAAGACUUCUAUGCCGUCACAGAGACAAAUUUCAUCACUAAGGUUGAUCCUGAUUCGCUGGAGACUUUGAAGAGGGUUGACUUAUGUAAGUACCUCUCAGUGAAUGGGUUGACAGCCCAUCCCCAUAUUGAAGCAGAUGGUACAGUCUAUAACAUCGGCAACUGCUUUGGAAAGAACUUGAGUCUGGCUUAUAACAUCGUCAAGAUCCCACCUGCUCAGAAAGAUGGGUCGGAUCCCCUGGAGAAAUCCCAGGUUGUUGUUCAACUACCCAGCAGUGAGAGGUUAAAACCCUCCUACGUACACAGCUUUGGUAUGACAGACAACCACUUUGUGUUUGUGGAGCAGCCGGUAAAAAUCAACCUGCUCAAGUUCCUGUCGGCUUGGAGCGUCAGAGGGGCGACAUACAUGGACUGUUUUGAAUCCAACGAAAGCAUGGGGACAUGGUUUCACUUGGCCACUAAGGACCCAGCUGAAUAUUUGAGCAGCCACAAGUUCAGAACAUCAGCUUUCAACAUCUUUCACCAUAUCAACGCCUACGAGGAUGAGGGCUUCAUCGUGGUUGACCUCUGCACGUGGAAAGGUCAUGACUUUGUGUACGACUACCUGUACCUGGCCAACAUAAAGCAGGAGUGGGAGGAAGUGAAGAAAGCUGCGAUGAGAGCUCCUCAGCCUGAGGUCCGACGAUAUGUACUGCCACUGGAUAUACACAAGGAGGAGCAGGGAAAGAAUCUGGUGUCUCUUCCCUACACCACAGCAACUGCUGUUCUUAACAGCGAUGGCACCAUUUGGCUCGAGCCUGAAGUCCUCUUCUCUGGACCAAGACAGGAUGCUGCCACCUUCUUUUUGUCAUUUUCUCAGCCUUUGAGUUUCCCCAGAUAAACUACUCUCUGUGUAGUGGGAAGAAAUAUUCAUUUGCGUACGGUCUGGGACUCAACCACUUUAUCCCUGACAGGAUAGUCAAGCUGAAUGUACAGACCAAAGAGACCUUGGUGUGGCAGGAGGAGGACUGUUACCCAUCCGAGCCGCUGUUUGUACCAACACCUGGAGCCACAGAGGAAGACGAUGGUGUGCUGCUGAGCAUCGUGGUGAAGCCGGGUGCAGAGAGACCGGGCUUCCUGCUGGUGCUGGAUGCCGUGAAACUCACAGAGCUGGCACGGGCCGAGGUCAACAUCAUCAUACCCGUGACCCUCCACGGCCUGUACAAACCGUGACUCCAACAUUCGACCUAUAAAACCCAAGACACGUCCUUAUGUACAGCACAACGCCUUCACUUUCCUGCCAGCACACUACAUUUGUAACUAGUAGACAUGGAUCCACAAAGUAGCUUUUUUUGGCAUUGAAUUAAAACAUAAUUUGUGUAACCAUGCCAUUGGGACCUGAUAAAACAAAUUACAUUUACGAUGUUGUUAAAUAGAAUGGAAUUAAUGUUUUUUCCACCCUUUGGUGCAAACUGGCUCACAAUUUAACAGUAUCUUUUAGCUGGUGGAGUGACUGUGUACAGAGAGUUUACUUAAAAAAUAAUUACUGCAUGUUGUGUAUGAGUUUAUGUAAAGCAGGUGCCAUGUACAAACACAAUAUUUAAAACAUUUAUUUAAAAAGCUGGUUGCAUAAUUUGCUUCUUUAUAGUAUACAAAUAAAAACACAAUACAACUUUUUUUUAUUUCAUAGAGCAGAUUUAUAUCAUUUAGAGAGGUAACUUCUGGGAUAAGAUAGAUUGAUAGAAAGAUGGAUCUACUUUAGUCAUCCCAAAUUGGGAAAUAUUUUGUUACAGAAACAAUAAUGUGUUCAGACAUUAAAAUUAAAAGGCGGACAAAAAGUAUUAAAAUAAUAAAAUAAAAACAAUAAACAGCAGGUAUAUAUACAUAUCUACAGUAGAAUGGACAUGAACCACACAUAAUACUCAAUAUAUAAUGUUCAAGUUAAGUUAGACUGUUCUAUAAAAUACUAUACUACAGCAACAGUAAUAUAGACUUACGUAUACUUGUGAUAAUACAUUUGCAUAGAAGAAUAUAUAUAUUUCUGUAUAUCCUACUAAAUUAUCCAGAAAAAAACGUAGUAAGGACAUGCGUAAUGAGUAAUACAGCUCCUGUGUAACUGUUGUUACAAUUGUUGUGUUUACAGGUUCUUGUGCUGCCCCCAAGUGGCUAAAUCAAUUAAUGCAUGUUAAAGGAGAUCAUCUCUUGCUAAUUUUAAAAGUUUCUACCAGCUCUAUAAAAAGGGUUUGGCUCAUUGGGGUGGGCAAUGAAAUGAUUUUUGUAUCCACUGUACACUGUCCAUGUGGACAUCUUUGUAUUCAGAAUGUGCAAUGAAUGAUUGUCAAUUUGUGUUCAAAGUAUACAAUUAAAUAUGUUACUGCUCUGAUUUCAA